rnacentral:sRNA from 12 species
CUUGUGGACUGUUAUAUCAAAUGGGAGUAGCCUUUUUUCUUCAAGAGAUGAGGGCAAAAUCAGACAGGUUGAAGCAAGAA